AGGGUCUUUCCCGGAGUUUUUCGUCUCUUCUUUUUCAAAAAGAAUACCUUGUUGUCUGGAGAAUGGACUGUUGAGGGAUAAGAACGGAUGUGAAGAGAUGAGAAUUUUCCAAGGGGGCCUAUAGCUAACAGACAACUUUCAGCUUUGGAGAAUAAAGGAAGUGGAUAACCAUAUUCCGCACAGAGUGUCCUCCUUUGAUGGUCUUUAUGUAGCAUGCUACAGACAUAUGGAUUUAAUUCUUCUUCUGAGGCUUCACCAGUUGCCAACUGACACAUUUGUUUUCAGAAGGAAGAGACUGGGAGAACGAUUCAUCUUUAAGUCCCAAAAAGACAGUGACAGAUUCUUCAAGCUGCACACAUCCAUGCGAAAAUGACAAACAUGUGAGGUGCCGAAGCAGAAAAGUACUCCCAGUGGUACGUACAGCUGUGAGGAGGAAAGCCCUGCACGCUUUCGGGCAGUGGAAACAAUGCUUUGCUUG